GCGUUGUCUCUGGACAGAGGAAACAAGAGGAGCCAACACCUUGGGGGCCAAAAGUUGUGAUGGCCCAGGCUGAUAAACCAACAGCCAAUGAGACCAGCUUCUUGGGAUGUUCAACCAAGAUGACACACAUUGAGGACCAUGAGCCGUUUGAACCAGCACCUGAGGUCACUGCGAGCAGUCAGCAGCAGAGCCCGCCUGAGGACAAUGGCCAGCCUGAAGAUCGUCAUGUAACACUUGGCAAUCAGAAGGUACUUAUUUUUAACAUGUUAUUCCCUGUUCCUUGUGAGUUUUCCUGCCAUUUAUUAGAUCUUGGAAAUUAGUUAAAGUAAUGUUAAUAUCAUGUACAAUUCCGUUUUCCCAUUAUACACAGCCAUGAACUACAGCUGAUUGAGUCCUAGCCUUUUUUAUGAAUUCCUUGUUAAUUUCGAUAUAAACUAUUGGUUACACUCCUUUUUGAUUGAACUAUUGUUGUGUUUUUAGGCACCCUGUGAUUUUGCACCUGCCAGAGCUGCUACAUCAAGUCAUGUGACUUAUGACAACCCUGGGUGUGUUCAAGGAUCGUUUGACCAGAGCAGCCACAUAUUCGGGGAAAAUGCAGGUAAGCAGUGUGCUACAAAUGGCAUAGCGGCGAUUAUGAUCCACACAACCCAUAGCGUUCUCAAAUGGAAAAAAAAAACCAUUCAUCAUAUUCUAAAACAAGGUAAUGGCUUGUACACAUCUAUGCUAGAAAAUAAGGAAAUCAGUGCAGCCAAAACCAGUGGGCAUAUUUUCAUUUCCGAGUUACCCAGA